rnacentral:rRNA from 1 species
UACGGAGGGUGCAAGCGUUGCUCGGAAUUACUGGGCGUAAAGCGCGUGUAGGUGGCAAGGCAAGUCGGGUGUGAAAGCCCAGGGCUCAACCCUGGAAGUGCAUUCGAUACUGCCUAGCUAGAGUCCCGGAGAGGAUGGUGGAACUCUCGGUGUAGAGGUGAAAUUCGUAGAUAUCGAGAAGAACACCGGUGGCGAAGGCGGCCAUCUGGACGGUGACUGACACUGAGACGCGAAAGCGUGGGGAGCAAGCAGG